GACGAACGCUGGCGGCGUGCUUAACACAUGCAAGUCGAACGAUGAAGCUGGAGCUUGCUCCGGUGGAUUAGUGGCGAACGGGUGAGUAACACGUGAGAAAUCUGCCCUUGACUCUGGGAUAACUGCGGGAAACUGUAGCUAAUACCGGAUACGAGGCUCGAAGGCAUCUUCGGGUCUGGAAAGAAUUUCGGUCAAGGAUGAGCUCGCGGCCUAUCAGCUUGUUGGUGAGGUAAUGGCUCACCAAGGCGACGACGGGUAGCCGGCCGGAGAGGGUGACCGGCCACACCGGGACUGAGACACGGCCCAGACUCCUACGGGAGGCAGCAGUGGGGAAUAUUGCACAAUGGGCGAAAGCCUGAUGCAGCAACGCCGCGUGAGGGAUGAAGGCCUUCGGGUUGUAAACCUCUUUUAGCAGGGAAGAAGCGAAAGUGACGGUACCUGCAGAAAAAGCACCGGCUAACUACGUGCCAGCCGCCGCAGUAA
rnacentral:rRNA from 1 species